UGUCCCCCCCUUAUUACCAUUAUGCCCCCACCCGCCGCCCAGGGGUGGGGGCCAGGGGGGGAGGACAGUAGCUCCCCCCCUUCAUUACCAUUAUGGCCCCCACCCACCGGUGGGGGCCGGGGGGGGGAGGACAGU